AGAGUUUGAUCCUGGCUCAGGAUGAACGCUGGCGGCGCGCCUAACACAUGCAAGUCGAACGGCACCCAUCUUCGGAUGGAAGCGAGUGGCGAACGGCUGAGUGACACGUGGAGAACCUGCCCCCUCCCCCGGGAUAGCCGCCCGAAAGGACGGGUAAUACCGGAUACCCCGGGGUGCCGCAUGGCACCCCGGCUAAAGCCCCGACGGGAGGGGAUGGCUCCGCGGCCCAUCAGGUAGACGGCGGGGUGACGGCCCACCGUGCCGACAACGGGUAGCCGGGUUGAGAGACCGACCGGCCAGAUUGGGACUGAGACACGGCCCAGACUCCUACGGGAGGCAGCAGUGGGGAAUCUUGCGCAAUGGGGGGAACCCUGACGCAGCGACGCCGCGUGCGGGACGGAGGCCUUCGGGUCGUAAACCGCUUUCAGCAGGGAAGAGUCAAGACUGUACCUGCAGAAGAAGCCCCGGCUAACUACGUGCCAGCAGCCGCGGUAAUACGUAGGGGGCGAGCGUUAUCCGGAUUCAUUGGGCGUAAAGCGCGCGUAGGCGGCCCGGCAGGCCGGGGGUCGAAGCGGGGGGCUCAACCCCCCGAAGCCCCCGGAACCUCCGCGGCUUGGGUCCGGUAGGGGAGGGUGGAACACCCGGUGUAGCGGUGGAAUGCGCAGAUAUCGGGUGGAACACCGGUGGCGAAGGCGGCCCUCUGGGCCGAGACCGACGCUGAGGCGCGAAAGCUGGGGGAGCGAACAGAAUUAGAUACCCUGGUAGUCCCAGCCGUAAACGAUGGACGCUAGGUGUGGGGGGACGAUCCCCCCGUGCCGCAGCCAACGCAUUAAGCGUCCCGCCUGGGGAGUACGGCCGCAAGGCUAAAACUCAAAGGAAUUGACGG
rnacentral:rRNA from 1 species